AAAAGUGUUUGUGUUUUGAUCUGAAGAGUUUGUAAAUAUCUGGUUUCAACUGUAUAUUUGAUGAUUGUCAGCACAAAGAGGGAGAGAGAGGAACAGAGAUGGAACAAGAGCAGGUGAGACACACAUGUUAGUCAAAUGGUUGUUUACCAAAAGUAUCACCGUAUCAUAGGUACUCAUGUAUCUCAUACCUAGUGUUUCUUUUUAGGUUUGCUAUUUUUCAAAUUCUAUAUUUAUUAAGUUCUGCAGGCUUGUUUGCACAACAAGGCUAAAUAAUUAUAUAAACUUUUCUCAAUCUAAAUAUUGUACUUUGGUAGAAUUAAAUAAAUAAGUGUAGUGCAGGUCUAUGAUGAUUUUUAGUGCUACUAUCAUCUAGUUCUGAUUGUGGUUAUGUCUUGGUUAAGUCCUCAGUAAUCCUGCUUUUGAACUGUUGUAGUCCUGUUUUAAUUCUGGAUCAGUUCUGGGUCUGGUUGAAUUGGGGUUUAGUCCUCGUGUCUUGAUACAGCCCCGACUUCGUUCUGUCUUGCUGCUCAAUUAAAAAACUAGUUUAAGGUGUCCUGCAUGUGUGAUAUAUAUAUUUCCCUAUAUGAAGUCAUUCUUUUUUGAACAAAACUCAAAACAGAGCCUAUUAAUCUUUCAGUCAUUUCUACACCCCCCUCAAAAAAAAAAAAAAAUCCCACAUGCAUACUACCCUUUAGGGCUAAGCCCCGGGUGUUUCAAAUGUCUGGCUCCUCCUCUGCAUCUGACCACAUGACAUUCUCCCAAUCCUCUGCUGUAUCAUCCAUGUGCUCUCUGGCAAACUUCAGACGGGCCUGGACAUGCACUGGCUUCAGCAGCGGAACACGUCUGGCACUGCGGGAUUUGAUUCCCUGCCGUUGUAGUGUGUUACUGAUGGUGACCUUUGUUACUUUGGUCCCAGCUCUCUGCAGGUCAUUCACCAGGUCCCCCCGUGUGGUUCUGGGAUCUUUGCUCACCGUUCUCAUGAUCAUUUUGACCCCACGGGAUGAGAUCUUGCGUGGAGCCCCAGAUCGAGGGAGAUUAUCAGUGGUCUUGUAUGUCUUCCAUUUUCUGAUGAUUGCUCCCACAGUUGAUUUUUUCACACCAAGCUGCUUGCCUAUUGUAGAUUCACUCUUCCCAGUCUGGUGCAGGUCUACAAUACUUUUCCUGGUGUCCUUCG
ensembl:lncRNA